AUACGUAGGGAGUAAGCGUUGUCCGGAUUUAUUGGGUGUAAAGGGUGCGUAGGCGGCUUUGCAAGUCAGGCGUGUAAUUCAGAGGCUUAACCUCUGAACUGCGCUUGAAACUGCUUGGCUUGAGUGAAGUAGAGGCAGAUGGAAUUUCCAGUGUAGCGGUAAAAUGCAUAGAUAUUGGAAGGAACACCGGUGGCGAAGGCGAUCUGCUGGGCUUUAACUGACGCUGAGGCACGAAAGUGUGGGGAGCAAACAGGAUUAGAUACCCUGGUAGUCCACACUGUAAACGAUGAUUACUAGGUGUGGGGGGUCUGACCCCUUCCGUGCCGCAGUUAACACAAUAAGUAAUCCACCUGGGGAGUACUGCCGCAAGGUUGAA
rnacentral:rRNA from 1 species